rnacentral:rRNA from 1 species
GACGAACGCUGGCGGCGUGCUUAACACAUGCAAGUCGAACGGAAAGGCCCUGCUUUUGUGGGGUGCUCGAGUGGCGAACGGGUGAGUAACACGUGAGUAACCUGCCCUUGACUUUGGGAUAACUUCAGGAAACUGGGGCUAAUACCGGAUAGGAGCUCCUGCUGCAUGGUGGGGGUUGGAAAGUUUCGGCGGUUGGGGAUGGACUCGCGGCUUAUCAGCUUGUUGGUGGGGUAGUGGCUUACCAAGGCUUUGACGAGUAGCCGGCCUGAGAGGGUGACCGGCCACAUUGGGACUGAGGUACGGCCCAGACUCCUACGGGAGGCAGCAGUGGGGAAUAUUGCACAAUGGGCGGAAGCCUGAUGCAGCAACGCCGCGUGCGGGAUGACGGCCUUCGGGUUGUAAACCGCUUUCGCCUGUGACGAAGCGUGAGUGACGGUAAUGGGUAAAGAAGCACCGGCUAACUACGUGCCAGCAGCCGCGGUGAUACGUAGGGUGCGAGCGUUGUCCGGAUUUAUUGGGCGUAAAGGGCUCGUAGGUGGUUGAUCGCGUCGGAAGUGUAAUCUUGGGGCUUAACCCUGAGCGUGCUUUCGAUACGGGUUGACUUGAGGAAGGUAGGGGAGAAUGGAAUUCCUGGUGGAGCGGUGGAAUGCGCAGAUAUCAGGAGGAACACCAGUGGCGAAGGCGGUUCUCUGGGCCUUUCCUGACGCUGAGGAGCGAAAGCGUGGGGAGCGAACAGGCUUAGAUACCCUGGUAGUCCACGCUGUAAACGGUGGGUACUAGGUGUGGGGUCCAUUCCACGGGUUCCGUGCCGUAGCUAACGCUUUAAGUACCCCGCCUGGGGAGUACGGCCGCAAGGCUAAAACUCAAAGGAAUUGACGGGGCCCCGCACAAGCGGCGGAGCAUGCGGAUUAAUUCGAUGCAACGCGUAGAACCUUACCUGGGUUUGACAUGGAUCGGGAGUGCCCAGAGAUGGGUGUGCCUCUUUUGGGGUCGGUUCACAGGUGGUGCAUGGCUGUCGUCAGCUCGUGUCGUGAGAUGUUGGGUUAAGUCCCGCAACGAGCGCAACCCUUGUUCACUGUUGCCAGCACGUUAUGGUGGGGACUCAGUGGAGACCGCCGGGGUCAACUCGGAGGAAGGUGGGGAUGACGUCAAGUCAUCAUGCCCCUUAUGUCCAGGGCUUCACGCAUGCUACAAUGGCUGGUACAGAGAGUGGCGAGCCUGUGAGGGUGAGCGAAUCUCGGAAAGCCGGUCUCAGUUCGGAUUGGGGUCUGCAACUCGACCUCAUGAAGUCGGAGUCGCUAGUAAUCGCAGAUCAGCAACGCUGCGGUGAAUACGUUCCCGGG